UACGAAGGGGGCUAGCGUUGCUCGGAAUCACUGGGCGUAAAGCGCACGUAGGCGGAUUCUUAAGUCGGUGGUGAAAUCCAGGAGCUCAACUCCAGAACUGCCUUCGAUACUGAGAGUCUUGAGUUCGGGAGAGGUGAGUGGAACUGCGAGUGUAGAGGUGAAAUUCGUAGAUAUUCGCAAGAACACCAGUGGCGAAGGCGGCUCACUGGCCCGAUACUGACGCUGAGGUGCGAAAGCGUGGGGAGCAAACAGG
rnacentral:rRNA from 1 species